rnacentral:tRNA from 1 species
GCAGUGGUGGUCCAGUGGUAGGAUUCUCCCUUUCCAUGUGGGAGACCUGAGUUCGAUUCCUGACCAGUGCA